UAAGAAGGGGGCUAGCGUUGUUCGGAUUUACUGGGCGUAAAGCGCACGUAGGCGGAUUUUUAAGGCAGGGGUGAAAUCCCAAGGCUCAACCUUGGAACUGCCUUUGAUACUGGAAGUCCCGAGUCCGGGAGAGGUGAGUGGAACUGCGAGUGUAGAGGUGAAAUUCGUAGAUAUUCGCAAGAACACCAGUGGCGAAGGCGGCUCACUGGCCCGGAACUGACGCUGAGGUGCGAAAGCGUGGGGAGCAAACAGG
rnacentral:rRNA from 1 species